rnacentral:ribozyme from 13 species
AAAGAACAAGAAAGACACAAAAAAAAGAAGGCAAAGAGUUGUCGAGAGAGAAAGAGACAGUUGUGUUGGAUUCGUUGUUUUUGUUUUUUUUUUUUUUUUGUUUU